rnacentral:tRNA from 1 species
GAGCGUCACGCGGCGGCCUCGAGCGGCGGCAUUUUACUGAAGAGCCGCAGGGCGUUUUCCGUCGUCGCCCGCGCCAGUUCGUCCUCGGCGACGCCCU